rnacentral:lncRNA from 1 species
GAAUUUGAUCAAGUUGACAGAGAAAGCAACUGGUGGGUACCUUCAUUUUUCACUUUUUGUAGAUACAAGGGAUCUAACAAAACGAAAGGACAAUGUAAAAUUAAACAAUUGUUUUGUAGGGAUGAUGAGAUCAUACUUUUUGGGUUGGUAUAUUAUAUCGGAUACCUGAUUCUGGAACAAGCUCAUCACAUGCCUAUGUGGAGGACCGAUGGGAUCGUUAUAACUGCCUUGCUUCAUAUUGGUCCUGUAGAGUUCCUCUAUUAUUGGCUACACAGAGCUCUGCAUCAUCAUUUUCUCUACUCUCGAUACCAUUCGCAUCACCACUCCUCCAUUGUUACUGAGCCAAUCAGUGGUAAUUUGUCUUCAAAAUUGUUUUCCAUCACUUUGAUUAAUUAGAUCUGAUCAAUCCUGGAGAAGAUGCAAGUGACCAUGUUAGUUCUUCUUUAACUAAUUUGAAAUUGAUCUUCGGUAAGUAGUAGUUGCAAUUUUGAAGAAGAAAAAAUCUAAAAAAGUAACUCAGUUAUAUACUAUUGUCAAGUCAUACAGUAAGUCACAUGGCAUAACUAACGGGGGAUAUAUAGUGCAAUUUUACCAAUCAAUUACCAACUUGUAUGGUUUACAAAGUUAUUUUUAUUUUAUUUUUGGCAGCUGUAGUUCAUCCCUUUGUUGAGAUACUAGCAUAUUAUACACUCUUUGGCUUACCUGUAUUCACAACAUUAUUCACCGGGACUGCUUCUAUAGCUUCAAUUGGUGCUUAUAUCAUCUAUAUUGAUUUCAUGAACCUCAUGGGCCAUUGCAACUUCGAGCUAAUUCCUAAGUGGAUGUUCUCUGUCUUUCCCCCUCUCAAGUACUUCAUGUAUACCCCCUCGUGAGUUAAAAAUUCUUGCCCUGUAUUUUGAAUUUUUUUCUCCGCGAUGCUUUAUACAACAAUGUCUCUAAUUAGACAGUUAUUAUUAAACUUUAGCUACUCGGGGAAAUAAAUAGAGACAAUGGAAAUUAAUGUUUCUUUCAAAUGAACUUUUUCCUAUAGUCAGUAAUAACUGAAGCUCUGAAUUUGUGAUUAUUUAUUCUAUUACCGUUAAUAUCAAUGUUUUGAUGGCACAGGUACCACUCACUACAUCACACCCAAUUCAGAACAAAUUAUUGCCUUUUCAUGCCACUCUAUGACUAUAUCUACGAUACAGUGGACAAGUCAUCGGACACAUUGUAUGAGAAGUCACUUGAGAGAGAAGCUGAAGUGCCAGAUGUGGUGCACCUUACACAUCUAACAACCCUAGAAUCCAUCUACCAUCUUCGAAUAGGAUUUGCAUCGCUGGCCUCAAAGCCUCACGCCUCUAAGUGGUAUAUGUUGUUCAUGUGGCCCGUCACACUAUGGUCAAUAAUGCUUGCAUGGAUUUAUGAUUACACAUUUGUUGUUGAGAGAAACUUGUUCAAGAAUCUCAAAUUACAAACUUGGGCUAUUCCAAAGUAUCGCGUACAAGUAAUUAAGCUAUCAUUAUUGAAGAUUGGGUUACAUUUUGCAGGUCUUUUUUUUAAAGGGAUUAGUAAUUUGACUUGUUUUUUGAUUUCGUUGCAGUACUUUAUGCAAUGGCAAAGAGAGAGUAUUAACAAUAUGAUCGAGAAAGCCAUCAUUGAAGCAGAUCAAAAAGGCAUAAAAGUGUUGAGCCUUGGACUCUUAAAUCAGGCAAGUCAAAAUAUAUGUCUAAAAAGCCUUAUAAUACCCAUCCUUAUUUAUCUAUGAGAACAAUGCACAAUCUAUUCUUAACUAGUAAUUAUCUUGCAGGCUUAUAGCAAAAUGUUCCGUAAGCAAUCUCAACAUAUUGUUAUUAUGGAGAAAAAGAGUUUAAAAAAAUUCACCCCUCAUCCUAUAUCAAUGUUUGUAGGUUGAACCAAUUAAAGAGGGUCAGUUCAUAUUUAUGCUUUAUUUCAAAUGUAACUUUCCAGGAAGAGCAACUGAAUAGUAACGGAGAACUUUACCUAAGGAGGCAUCCUCAGUUGAAAGUGAAGGUGGUAGAUGGAAGUAGCUUAGCG